rnacentral:rRNA from 1 species
UACGUAGGGGGCAAGCGUUGUCCGGAUUUAUUGGGCGUAAAGAGCGUGUAGGCGGCUAGGUAGGUCCGUUGUGAAAACUCGAGGCUCAACCUCGAGACGUCGAUGGAAACCAUCUAGCUAGAGUCCGGAAGAGGAGAGUGGAAUUCCUGGUGUAGCGGUGAAAUGCGCAGAUAUCAGGAAGAACACCCGUGGCGAAGGCGGCAUCCUGGACCGACACUGACGCUGAGGAGCGAAAGCCAGGGGAGCAAACGGG